GAUGAACGCUGGCGGCGUGCCUAAUACAUGCAAGUCGAGCGAACAGACGAGGAGCUUGCUCCUCUGACGUUAGCGGCGGACGGGUGAGUAACACGUGGAUAACCUACCUAUAAGACUGGGAUAACUUCGGGAAACCGGAGCUAAUACCGGAUAAUAUAUUGAACCGCAUGGUUCAAUAGUGAAAGACGGUUUUGCUGUCACUUAUAGAUGGAUCCGCGCCGCAUUAGCUAGUUGGUAAGGUAACGGCUUACCAAGGCGACGAUGCGUAGCCGACCUGAGAGGGUGAUCGGCCACACUGGAACUGAGACACGGUCCAGACUCCUACGGGAGGCAGCAGUAGGGAAUCUGCCGCAAUGGGCGAAAGCCUGACGGAGCAACGCCGCGUGAGUGAUGAAGGUCUUCGGAUCGUAAAACUCUGUUAUUAGGGAAGAACAAAUGUGUAAGUAACUAUGCACGUCUUGGCGGUACCUAAUCAGAAAGCCACGGCUAACUACGUG
rnacentral:rRNA from 1 species